CUGUUGUACUUGGUUGCAGCCCUGAAAGAGGGAUCAGCCUGGGGUCCUCCACUUCUGGAGGCCUCUAGGCUCUAUCAGCAACUGGGGGACACAACAGCAGAGCUGGAGAGUCUGGAGCUGCUAGUUGAGGCCUUGAAUGUCCCCUGCAGUUCCAAAGCCCCGCAGUUUCUCAUUGAGGUAGAAUUACUACUGCCACCACCUGACCUAGCCUCACCCCUUCAUUGUGGCACUCAGAGCCAGACCAAGCACAUACUAGCAAGCAGGUGCCUACAGACGGGGAGGUGAGGUUCCCCUUGCUCACCUGAGCUUCUCUUCCCACUUCUGAUGCCUCCCCUGGGGUGUGACUCUGCUUUUGUUCUUGUGACUUGGGGGAUGAAUGAGGCAGUGGCAGGACAUAAGUCGCCACUCCUCAGCCUCCUACCUUGCUUCUAGACCUGAACUGAGGACCCUUCUCUAAGACAUUAACCUUCUCUAUCUUUGACACUCUGAAGUCUCUUACCCAGUCCAUUCUGUAACUGGGAUAGAUCAUACUGAGCCAAAAUUGGAGCCCUAAGACUUUCCCUCCCUUUCU
rnacentral:sRNA from 1 species